UUCAAAACUUGGCUUUGCCACUUACUAUGUGACAAAUAGGCGAGUAACUUCACCUCUCGAGCCUCAAUUUAUUCAGCUGUUUGAGGAGGUGAAUUCUUUGGAGGGUUCUUGUAAGAACUGAAUGCCGGGGGCUGAGGCAGGUGGA